GGUCUACUGGCGCAAUGGUAGCGUAUCAGCCUUCUACGUAUCUUUCCGUGCGUGAAAGGCGAGCUGAGGGUUGCGGGUUCGAGCCCCGCGUGGACCU